AAAUUGAAGAGUUUGAUCAUGGCUCAGAUUGAACGCUGGCGGCAGGCCUAACACAUGCAAGUCGAGCGGUAGCACAGAGAGCUUGCUCUCGGGUGACGAGCGGCGGACGGGUGAGUAAUGUCUGGGAAACUGCCUGAUGGAGAGGGAUAACUACUGGAAACGGUAGCUAAUACCGCAUAAUGUCGCAAGACCAAAGUGGGGGACCUUCGGGCCUCAUGCCAUCAGAUGUGCCCAGAUGGGAUUAGCUAGUAGGUGGGGUAACGGCUCACCUAGGCGACGAUCCCUAGCUGGUCUGAGAGGAUGACCAGCCACACUGGAACUGAGACACGGUCCAGACUCCUACGGGAGGCAGCAGUGGGGAAUAUUGCACAAUGGGCGCAAGCCUGAUGCAGCCAUGCCGCGUGUGUGAAGAAGGCCUUCGGGUUGUAAAGCACUUUCAGCGGGGAGGAAGGCG
rnacentral:rRNA from 1 species